UACGUAGGGGGCUAGCGUUGUCCGGAAUCAUUGGGCGUAAAGCGCGUGUAGGCGGCCCGGUAAGUCCGCUGUGAAAGUCGGGGGCUCAACCCUCGAAUGCCGGUGGAUACUGUCGGGCUCGAGUCCGGGAGAGGUGAGUGGAAUUCCUAGUGUAGAGGUGAAAUUCGUAGAUAUUAGGAAGAACACCAGUGGCGAAGGCGGCUCACUGGCCCGGUACUGACGCUGAGGCGCGAAAGCGUGGGGAGCAAACAGG
rnacentral:rRNA from 1 species